UGGACAUAACACACAGUUUCUGCCAAUCCCAUGUUAAUCUUGAGGAUUUAUAGAGUAGUACUGCUUCCUUCAUAUCUCAGAAGAGUCUUUAAUUUAUAAAUAUGAAAAAACU